rnacentral:rRNA from 1 species
UACGUAGGGUGCGAGUGUUAAUCGGAAUUACUGGGCGUAAAGCGUGCGCAGGCGGUUUUGUAAGCCAGAUGUGAAAUCCCCGGGCUUAACCUGGGAAUGGCAUUUGGGACUGCAAGGCUUGAGUGCGGCAGAGGAGACUGGAAUUCCUGGUGUAGCAGUGAAAUGCGUAGAUAUCAGGAGGAACACCGAUGGCGAAGGCAGGUCUCUGGGCUGACACUGACGCUCAUGCACGAAAGCGUGGGGAGCAAACAGG